UUAACCCGAGCUUUAACAGUGGGUGUAGACGUCCGUCAACAAGAAACAGUUUCCAUUAGAAGAAGUGUCAGUCCCCUGGUAGUAAAUUUAUAUUUAAGAGGGCAUAAAUUUUGCUUCUGGUACAUAUUUUACCAGAAAAAUAUUUGCUUCAAAUGCCAGGGCAAAAGCGUCAUUUCUUUUCUUUGCAAGGGGCAGCGACAAAAGAACCAACGCGGGAGAAGGGACAAGGUCCCAGACCGCUGAAAAGGACACAGACUUCCACCAGAGAAAGGUUGAUUCUUUCAAGGAAUAUUUUCCCCAACAGCUAAAACGGUUUAACACACAAUCAGCAUCUUGUAUCAAUUACACAAAUACCAUUUAAGCAACUCUGGUGGCCUGGGAAAGGACCGCAACACACAGAAAUCCUUACUGGCCCCAGCUGUCCCCUCCUGCGGGGCUUGACAGCGUGUCGAAGACGCCCAAACACGAGCCACCAGGCUCCCCCCAGCGCCCUCCUCUCGCAGCAAACUGCCAAGGCUCUCGGGCCAAACGCCAAUGGCCCUCAGUUCAAAACCGCGAAAAUGUGAACGCUGCUAAGCAAACGGUAGGGCGCGUGAUAACUUUUCUUUCCCUUUUGCGCGGAUUUGAGAUGCUUGUCUCUAACACCAACUUCCCAGGUCCGCAGCCCGCUUCUCGCAGCCCAGCUCGAGAGAAGGCGAGGGGGAGCGCGGACCAGAGAGAGGGCUGCUUGCGAAGCAACACAUCCUGGGGAGACGGUGGCGCCUUGACGAGUCCGCGACCCCGCUGAUCUCUGCCCACGAGACCGAAGGGCCUGGACCAGGAGGGCGAGGACCAGGGGAAGCGCGCCUUAGCCACCAGCCUGGAGGGCAGGGGGAACCCACCCAGACUGGCGUGGGCUAGUCCCCGGAGCAACCCUGCCGGAGUGGUGGGAGUGCUUAGUGGAGCCAAAGGAUUUGACUGAGUCUGUCUCUGGGACAUUUUAAAGUCUCACACUCUCUCCAUUUGUUGCCAGUUUCUUCCGCUUGACUUUGUGUUUGUUUAAAAUCUACCCUUGGGAUAUUGGACUGAAAGGGAAACUUACUAUAUGUCCUAGUUCUACUUAUCUACUUGUAUGUGUUUUACAAUUAUGAUCCCUGGUCCCGAGUUUAACAUGAUCCAUCUCGUAAAGAAAUAUCUUUUCCAAUUUAUUUAUGAAAAACAAAGCGCCAAAACAAAUUUUAGAAGAUAGUAUAAAUAAUAGAUAGUGCUAAAAAUAUUGGGAGAUAAGUGAACAUUUCUGGAAAAAAAUAACCUCAGGCAUUUUCUUAUUAACACAACAUUAGUAUUUAGGAAUUCCUCUGAGUUUGAAAAUGUUGUACAAUUAUAGUAGGCUGGGAGUGGUGACAAAGGUUCUGCACUUAUGGUGGUGACAUUCCCUCGGUUGCAUAGGAUAGUAAACAAAAGGUCAACAUGAUUACAGAUUGUGAGAAAUGCUGUGCCCUGAGGGAAAUAAACACACAGUAAGGUGAAAGAGUAACUGGGUGGACUAGGUCAGAUAGAGUAAGAGAGAAGUCUUCCUUGAGGAGGCUUUUAGGCAGAGAUUUGAAAGAUGAAAGCAAGGAGAAUCAGACUUGUCUUAUGGAAGGGUAGAAGAGACAACCGUAAGGAAGAUUGAGAGAAGGAACAAGCAAGGGGAGUUGUUGUUGUUUUUCUUAAAUUUAAAGCCUUUCUAGAACACAAGUGAGUGUAAUUUUUAUGGCAGCUAAUAAACCACAGCAAUUCUUUUUAAGUAUAUGAACACAGAUUUUGCCAUAACUCCAAAUGUGUUGUUCGCUUUAGAAAAUUCACCACUCCCUCCAUUCCUGUUAUAAGGUCCUUUUUAAUGGAAAAUUGUAAUAUAACUUGUACUAUUUACUUUUGGAAGUUGCAAUAAUUUUUUAAAUUUCACAUAAGGGAUCCAAUUAUCUCAUUUCUAUAUAAGAAAUCCUUAAAUGUUUUUCCCUAUCUUCGACUGUGUUGUUUUAGAUUUGUAUCUGCAGAGAUUAAACAAGGGUUGAGGAGAGGUUGAAGACAGAUAUGUCUCUUUGUGUGUAUUUUAGAAAGGAAAUUUACAAUCUUUUUACAUUAUAUGCCAUUUUUAGAUUAUCUGUUAAGUCAUGUCUUAUAUCUUUAUACAUUAAAAGGUAUGCUGGAAAAAGCUAUUAUACUAAA